AUUGAACGCUGGCGGCAGGCUUAACACAUGCGAGUCGAGCGGAGUGAUGGUGCUUGCACUAUUACUUAGCGGCGGACGGGUGAGUAAUGCUUAGGAAUCUGCCAUUUAGUGGGGGACAACAUUCCGAAAGGAAUGCUAAUACCGCAUACGUCCUACGGGAGAAAGCAGGGGAUCUUCGGACCUUGCGCUAAAUGAUGAGCCUAAGUCGGAUUAGCUAGUUGGUGGGGUAAAGGCCUACCAAGGCGACGAUCUGUAGCGGGUCUGAGAGGAUGAUCCGCCCCACUGGGACUGAGACACGGCCCAGACUCCUACGGGAGGCAGCAGUGGGGAAUAUUGGACAAUGGGCGGAAGCCUGAUCCAGCCAUGCCGCGUGUGUGAAGAAGGCCUUUUGGUUGUAAAGCACUUUAAGCGAGGAGGAGGCUCUCCUAGUUAAUACCUAGGAAGAGUGGACGUUACUCGCAGAAUAAGCACCGGCUAACUCUGUGCCAGCCGCCGCAGUAACAC
rnacentral:rRNA from 1 species